AAGUGCAAGGCUGCUGAACCUACGAGAGGGCAGGAGGCCAUCCUCGCCCCAGCUCUGCGCGGGCAUCUGUCCGUGUCUUGGAUUCCUGUAACGCUGGGUGACCGGAAGUGACUGCAUGGAGUGCAGAUGGUUCGCUGCCUGCCGCUCCGCUAGUACUAUGGUGUCCCCCCCCUUCUGUGUUUAUUAUGAGGGCAGCUGACUCGGCGUUGUACCCGGUGUGCUACGCGUGAUGCGCGGAUCGCUCGAUGCUUGAAGCAGGUCUCGCCUCAGGCUAUGGUCUUGCACGCAGUGAUUUGAUUACGCACAUAUCCCUCGCGCUGCAGGGGCUUCUCGUGUCGCGUAUCUCUGGCUGCCCGCCUGCGCCCCUUCAGGAGGACACGCUAUGAGUUCUUUGCGAUCAGGCGCAUGUUUAUCCACGGGCCCAUUCCGCUUGACACAGCCAUUCCCUUCAAAGGCAUGCGGAUUCAGGAGAAGACGGAGUGGCGCUGCUGCCACAGUCUCAUGGAAGUGUCCUGUCUGUCGCGGCACAUGCGGACAAGUCAUCCAAGCACGCCCCCAUGACCCCAACGGGCAUGGACGAUGAAGGCAGCUAGCCCCCUACCAGACAACAACGCCGUCCUGAAACAGGUCCCAGGGCCCGAAAACGCGAGCGCUGCGAAGCACAGCUGGCGUGGCGUAUGAAAUCGAAAGAAGGCAUGCAGAGGUCAGCAGAACGCGAGUGAUGGACGAGCGAGACGCGAAGAGACCCACACCGGUCAGCGGCACAGUGCAUGUGCGCGAAGGCAUGAGACAUCACCUGCAUCUGGCCGGGUGGGCUGAUGAGGCACAAGUGCCGGAAGCAUGGCAAGAACACCCCAAGUCGCGCCAUCGAGUCCUCCAGACUCUCCAGUGUGGCGAGUCACCGCGCCAUACUCUUGAAUCCCACGGCUUGAGGCGACUGAGGGCGAAGCAUGGCAUACGCAGGCAAGGGGUGUGCAGAGUCUCAGAGGGCCCUGACCUGCGGCUGGCCAACUUCCCCCUUGAGCUCAGGCGGCAUGCACCGAGGCCAGCCCCCUGUUACCCACGCGGCUGGCAUCCACCGCCUCCAUCCUUGAGUGCAUGACCUUGAGCACGGCCCGCCUGGAUCAAGGCAUGCCGUCCACGCGAGUCUCCGUCUGGCGCCGAUCGCGCAGCACGCAUCCGAAGAACGAACGCGCGGGUGUACAAACGGUGCCCGUGCGACGCGCGGCCCGCUUCGACGGCAGGAUGGUUUGUCCUAGACGACCAGGAUGUAGCCGUGAUGCGACAGAGGCAGGUGAGCUGUGACUGUGCAUGCGUCGAUUGGUUCGCCUGUUCGUCGUAUAACGGACACUCGGAAGAGAGAAGUCCUUCCCCCUUCUGUCGGUGUCUGCGUAUCGGUGCACGCAAAGCCCCUGUAUGUUUUGUGCCAUCACCAGCUUGUCUACCUUUUCAGGAUGUUUCCUUGGCGUUGGCGUGAGCCGCACCCUCUUACCCUUCCCUUACAGUGUUUGCGCUUUAGGCCUAUUCGGUAUGCGUCGAUAUCCCCACCCCCACCCCACCCCUCCCCCCGUGAGCGUCUUUCCCGUUUGUUCCUCCCUUUCUGCCUUUCUUUUUUCCACCGUUUUUUCUUCUCUUACUUGGGUGUGGGGUCUCCCGCUGUACUGUUAUUUAACGUUACCCCUCUCCCCUCCCCCUUCCGUUUAUGUGUCGUGCCUGUAUGCUUCGCUUGGUUUCACUGCUGUUGCGCGCCUCCAUCACAGCCGUCGCUGCGGCCUUACUGAGGUGUUUUGUGUUCCUGUGUGUGCGGGUGGGGGGGGGUAUUCCAUUGCAUACGCUGAUGAUGUUGUGCCCGGGCUUCCAUGCACACUUCACACAUGCAUACAUAUAUACGCACAAAACCUGCCCUUGCUGCGCGGCAGCGUGUGCACGUGAAUGAGGUCGUUCAUGUUUUGUUUUUUUCGCUUCUAUUGCUCGUCCCACCACCCCUAUUCUCCCCUCUCCAUCAGCUGCCAUGGCUCUGGGUGCCGCUGAUGAGGGGUAGUGACGGGCGAACUGGAGUUGCGCACGCGCAUCUGUAACUCUGCCUUAUCUCCAACCGUUCUCUCCUCCUCCUUGUCGCUUCUCUGACGCUUUUUGCAUCACUUACUUCGACUCGCCGCCCCACUUCCCUCCAUCGCCCACGGCCACUCGCUCUCUGUGUUUUGUUGGCGCAUGUCUGCCGAUUGGCCCUCUUCUCUUUUUGGGGGAGGGGAAUGGGGCUAUUGGGACGCUCUCUCGUCCCCCUUCUCUUUUCCUUUAACCCCCCCCCCACUCCACCCCCUCCCCCCAUCCCUUCACACAUGGUACGCUGACGCGUUGAGGGAUGACCCCGGUCGAAGCGUUGGAGUGACUGGCGGGGGAGGGGGCCGGUAUUUGGGUUUACGUAUCUGUGUGUGCCGCGUCGCACUAGCUGUUUUCCCUCGAUGUAUUGCCUUGCUCACUGCUGUCAUCGCCCCCCCCCUGCUCGCCCUGCUGCAAGCUCGAAGAAUGAGGUACGAGGGCGGCGAGGAAAGCGCUACGACCUCUUUGAGCUCCUUCCUCGCUCCUGCUUCUCCCCCUCCCCUCCCUCAACGAAAAGCGGGUGGACAGCGCUUUCUUUCCCACCGCCUACUGAAACCCCAGUGCGACGAAGCGAGCCGUGAAACCUGCUCUUGCGGCAGGCGUUAGAAGUUGUGAGAGGCUUAGCAACUCGUGUAGGUUUUUUUUUCGUCACGAAAAGUUUGGCGGAGCGCUUUCAAUCGCCGGGAACUAGCCAUAUGUAUGCAGAUGUAUGUAUGCGUUUGUGCAUGUGUGCUCUGGCGCAUGCAUCUCCUCUCUGCUCCCUCAGCGAGUAGGGGUGUAUGGCAUUUUCGUUCUUCUUCGUGCGCAUCUUGAAGAUACAGUCGGCUCUCUUUCGCAUGGUCUUCUGUCUCUGAGCUGUCCGCCGCGCUUCUAGUUUGUUUGCUUGUCCCCCUCUUCUGCGCUUGCCCUUAGUAUAACAUCUUCACCGGUGCUUUAGCUGGUGAUCUCCCCACCCCCAGCUCUCCUGCUACUUUCCUCUUCGUCUCCCGAAAGUCUAUUUCUUGUUCCUCCCUCUCCCCAACUUGUAGCUGCUCAUCCCUAUUUUCGCCUCACUUCGUUUGUUGCUUCGGUCCUCGGCUUUCACCGUCGUCCAUCCCCACCUUUUCCUCCUUUUCCCUGUUAAUUUCUUUAUUCUUCUCCCCCUCCCACUCCCCCUUGUUGCCCGCGCGCUGCCCGCUGACUCUCUCGCUCGUUUUGAGUUUCGCCGGUUCAUCUUCCUCUGGCCUUUUGUCUCAGCGCUUCUCAUGAGCAGUGCUCACUUCCACCCUCACGGAUGCCCCCCCCCGACUUUGACGGAAGUGGUGAGUGGAAUGAGAAGAGUGUGGCACGUUACGGCGAGGCGCACGCGCUGGGCUCCCGCAUACGUAUCCAGAGAGCUUCCGACAGGAGGUCCCGCAUCUUGUGGGCCAACACGCUGAGCACACUGAGUGUCGGGAUGUGCCUGCAACAGGCCAAUAGGAGCACAGAUGCACAGCGGUCUACUCACCCACGCAAAUGCAGUGCCUUUCGUAAAGAGAUCCAGAUACUGCACAGAUGUAGCCUGCACGCUUCUCCUCCUCUCCUUUCCGUUCCCCACACUCCUGUCGUCAGUGCCUUCGGAGUUGAGCACACAUCUCUGCCUCGUUCUAUACAAUCGAGGUGAAAGCUCGCAUCUCUGUGUGUCUGUGUGUGCGCGGAGUCAUCUUUUCUCUCCUUUUUGUUGCUAUUCGCCUGCACGGGCGUGCAAGGAGUGAGCGAAGCAAGUGCGAUUGGGUUCCAUAACUUGUCAGUCACUUCCUCAUCCGUCCCACCCUCCCACCCUUCCGUGCCGCCCUCAGUGCUUCAGGUCUUGAUUACAGCAUUUUCUCAAGCACAAGCCUUCACUCUCUCUCCCCCCACACACGCACACACAGAACAGACAGAACACCCGUGCGCUGUUGAUGACGGUGGGGAGUGAGAGGGAGGGCGACGGCGCUCUGUGGCUUUUUUUCCGUUUCGGUCUCCCUCCGGGGUAGCCGCACGCCCUUUGCUGUCCUCGCUUUGGUGAUGACGGUCAAGGAACGUGUUCGCCUCACUUGCUGUUGUGCAUGCGUGGGUGGAUGUUGUGAGGCGGGUCGUUGUGCUGCUGUGCGCAUAGACUCACUUCGCCUCGUGGAGGGUUGCACGCACACGCACGCACGUGUACCUUUUAUUUAUAGCGGGGCUUUAGUGAUUAUGGCUGCGUUGCUGGCACCUUCUUUCAGUGGUCUACUCUCUCUCUUUAUCGUGCGCUGUGCUCAUGCCCACAGGCAUCCACAGAGGCUUUCUUCUCUCUGAGGCGCUGCCAACCUGUGCGCGUGUGCGUGUGCGUGUGUGUUCUGCCCUUCUCGCGCUUUCCCUCCACCACAGCAGAUGUGCGCUUUCUGCCUCUUCUCGAUUUUGACCUUUUCCUGUUCUUCUUUGCUUGUGUGUGUGUGUGUGUGUGUGUGUGUGUGUGUGUGUACCACUCAUUUUUUUUUCGGUGCUACAUACUCGUAUAUACAAGGACACACACACGCACAUGCUCUGGCAAGCCCCCUCCCCCCUCCCCCCACACACACGCACCAGAGCCCAUUUUCACACAGCAGCAGUUUGCGGUGUGGACAUGCUGGACGAGCGACGCGCAGCGUGCAUUCCAUGUCUGCUGAAGUCGUCGUUGUAGGCGAUGACCGCGCAGCAUCCAAGAAAACGAUUACGCGCAGCGAACAAAACCAAGCAUGCACGCACACUUGAACGACAAGCCAGAGAAAGACGCAAAACCCGCUCCAACGGGUCUGGUGCGCGUGCACCACGUGGUCGGGGGUCGUUAUGAGUUGCAGCGCCUUUUUGCCAGCUCGUGUUGAAGAGUGAGGAGGCACGCGCUAGCGUUCGUCUCUCGUCUCUCUUGUUUCCGUUUCUUGCAUGAGGUGAGGGCCACGGAGACGCAUUUCUCAAGCAGCACACGGUAGCUCAAGCCCCUGUUUCAGCUUCCUCUGUGUCUCAUUGCUGGCGCCCCCUCCUCUCCCUCUUUCGCUGGCGCUUGCUAUCCCUUUCUUCAUAACAUCUGCGUUAUGUUUUCUGCCCCCCCCCUCCUCUUCGUUUUUCUACUGCUCUUGUCUUCAUCUUGUGUGUCUUGGCUCUCUCUCUCUGUAUGUGUGUGUGUGUGUGUCGGUUGCUUGUGUUUGCCCUUGCGACGUGCUUGCACGGUGUCCCGAGCGUGGUCGUGCUCUUCUCCUCGCCCCCUCGCCCCAUUCACCCGCUCUCGUGUUGGCCCUUCAACCGCUCAUACUGUCGCCAGAGUAUUUCGGGGCGCGUUGUUUUCCUUUCAUGUGCUCUCUAUCGAUUUUGUUUUUUUCCGUCUCUUCGCGUUUGCGCCCUCCCCUCCCCUCCCCUUCCCGUCUCUCUCCCACCGCCUUGCUGCUUGCAUAACUCGAGCACCGCAUCCAUGUACCCCCCUUCCCGCCCCCCUCACUCCCCCCCACACACACAUGUGUUUAUGCAUUGGCGUGCGCGUGCGUGUUAUGUUGUGUGCACCGUCGGUGCGCGGGUGUGUUCCGUCGCUUCACACGUGGUGCGCCUCAUGUCGUUCUCUUUGUUUGCCUCUUUUUUCUUCUGCACCCGUCCACGCAUGCACACAUGCACACGCUGUCCCUCCUCGCGUCGAAGAGGACGCGUGCGUGCGUGCGAGCGUGUAUUGAACGUGUCGUUGAGCCGAACAGAAAGAAUGCGCGUAAACG
rnacentral:misc_RNA from 1 species